rnacentral:rRNA from 1 species
GAUUAAAGAUUUAUCGGUGAUGGAUGGGGAUGCGUCUGAUUAGCUUGUUGGCGGGGUAACGGCCCACCAAGGCGACGAUCAGUAGGGGUUCAGAGAGGAAGGUCCCCCACAUUGGAACUGAGACACGGUCCAAACUCCUACGGGAGGCAGCAGUGAGGAAUAUUGGUCAAUGGGCGAGAGCCUGAACCAGCCAAGUAGCGUGCAGGAUGACGGCCCUAUGGGUUGUAAACUGCUUUUAUAAGGGAAUAAAGUGAGAGUCGUGACUCUUUUUGCAUGUACCUUAUGAAUAAGGACCGGCUAAUUCCGUGCCAGCAGCCGCGGUAAUACGGAAGGUCCGGGCGUUAUCCGGAUUUAUUGGGUUUAAAGGGAGCGUAGGCCGGAGAUUAAGCGUGUUGUGAAAUGUAGACGCUCAACGUCUGCACUGCAGCGCGAACUGGUUUCCUUGAGUACGCACAAAGUGGGCGGAAUUCGUGGUGUAGCGGUGAAAUGCUUAGAUAUCACGAAGAACUCCGAUUGCGAAGGCAGCUCACUGGAGCGCAACUGACGCUGAAGCUCGAAAGUGCGGGUAUCGAACAGGAUUAGAUACCCUGGUAGUCCGCACGGUAAACGAUGGAUGCCCGCUGUUGGUCUGAAUAGGUCAGCGGCCAAGCGAAAGCAUUAAGCAUCCCACCUGGGGAGUA